GUCGGUCGGGUUUUGAGCUUUGUGGUGCAACCUGACAAGUAAGGCUAACUAACGGUGGCCACUGAGCCGCACAUAUUUUGGACUGAUUCGGUGACACCGGCGGCGGACGGAGUCCGGCUGUUGUCUUGACCACGUAUCAUGUCCCGUGUCAAGAGCCACGAAGGCCUACUUCCUGUUCUGACCUCCCAACGUUUGUUGUAACUUGACCUCUCUCAUGGCUGAUGUCAGUGUGCUCUGUGCUGAGAGAAAACAACAUGUUAGCUUCAUUCAAGACUAAUGGGAACGGGGUCACUUGUUUGUCUAUGUUAUAUGUUUAUAUGUGCCCUGACGUUGACUGGAAACCAGUCCAGGGUUUACCCCGCCUCUCCCUCAAUCAGCUGGAAUAGACUCCAGCUCACCCUAAUUGACCCUAAUGAGGACAAACGCCAUAGAAAAUGGACGGAUGGGUGGUGAAAUGGGCUUUAAACAUACUUGACAAUAAACAGAAUUGAUCAUCA